UGAGGAAUAUUGGUCAAUGGGCGAGAGCCUGAACCAGCCAAGUCGCGUGAGGGAAGACGGUCCUAUGGAUUGUAAACCUCUUUUGCCGGGGAGCAAAGAGCGGCACGUGUGCCGCGCCGAGAGUACCCGGAGAAAAAGCAUCGGCUAACUCCGUGCCAGCAGCCGGGUAAUACAUGACU
rnacentral:rRNA from 1 species